UGAUGUGCGUUGAAGUGCGUAGGUGUUGAGAGUGAUUGGCAAAUCCGUCACUUGAGCUGAACCACGACAGUACGGGGAGAUUCGUCGAACCGAGGGGGUACAAUCAGACUGGCGAGAAAAUCUUCGUAGCUAUUAUACAAACAAUCCGUACCGCAAACCGACACAGGUGGAUGGGUAGAAUAUACUAAGGUGCUCGAGUGAGCCGUCGUUAAGGAACUCGGCAAAUUGACCCUGUAACUUCGGGAUAAAGGGUGCCUCUCUCCGGAGAGGCCGCAGUGAAAUGGGCCAACCGACUGUUUAACAAAAACACAUCUCUAUGCCAACCCAAUUGAGGGGACGUAUAUGGAGUGACACCUGCCCGGUGCUGGAAGGUUAAGGAAGGGGGUUAGCCGCAAGGCGAAGCUUUCGACCGAAGCCCCAGUAAACGGCGGCCGUAACUAUAACGGUCCUAAGGUAGCGAAAUUCCUUGUCGGGUAAGUUCCGACCUGCACGAAUGGUGUAACGAGUUGGCCACUGUCUCAACGACGGGCUCGGUGAACUUGUGGUACCGGUGAAGACGCCGGUUACCCGCAUAUGGACGGAAAGACCCUAUGCACCUUUACUGCACCCUGACAUUGGCUUCGGCCAAUGCAUGCGUAGCAUAGGUGGGAGUCUGUGAAGCAGGGGCUUUGGCCCUUGUGGAGACAACAGUGAAAUACCACCCUUGCUUUGGUUGGAUUCUAACGUUAUUCCUUGAAUCAGGAAGACGGACAGUGUCAGGCGGGUAGUUUGACUGGGGCGGUCGCCUCCUAAAAUGUAACGGAGGCUCUCAAAGGUAUUCUCAGCAUGGUCGGUAAUCAUGCGAAGAGCGUAAACGCAAAAGAAUGCUUAACUGCGAGACAUACAUGUCGAGCAGAUGGGAAACCAGGAGUUAGUGAUCCGAUGGUUCCGGAUGGAAGGGCCAUCGCUCAAAGGAUAAAAGGUACGCUAGGGAUAACAGGCUGAUCUUGCCCAAGAGUCCACAUCGACGGCAAGGUUUGGCACCUCGAUGUCGGUUCAUCGCAUCCUGGGGCUGAAGAAGGUCCCAAGGGUUUGGCUGUUCGCCAAUUAAAGCGGUACGUGAACUGGGUUCAGAACGUCGUGAGACAGUUCGGUCCCUAUCCUAUGCGGGCGCAGGAGAUUUGAGGAGCCUCGACUUUAGUACGAGAGGACCGAGUUGACCGGACCGACGGUGUAUCUGUUGUCACGCCAGUGGCAUUGCAGAGUAGCCAUGUCCGGAAAGGAUAAGCGCUGAAAGCAUCUAAGCACGAAACCUACUCCAAGAUUAGAUCUCCCUGAAGAAUCGUAGUAGAUGACUACGUUGAUAGGAUCAAGGUGUAAGCACAGUAAUGUGUUCAGCCGACGAUUACUAAUAAUUCGUUCGACUGA
rnacentral:rRNA from 1 species